GGCUGUCGCGAGCACACCCCUCCUCCUCCCAAAUGCUCGUGACGACGAUUGGCGGCAUCCCCCUCCUCCCAAGUCGCCAGUCAAUAUCGAGCCCGGUGCAUCCUCCCGCACCGGGCUUUUUCG
rfam:Rhizobium sp. NT-26 chromosome, complete genome.